rnacentral:rRNA from 1 species
UACGUAGGUGGCGAGCGUUGUCCGGAUUUACUGGGCGUAAAGAGCGCGCAGGCGGUCGUACAAGUCGCGUGUGAAAGCCCCCGGCUCAACUGGGGAGGGUCACGCGAUACUGUUCGACUCGAAGGCAGGAGAGGGUAGUGGAAUUCCCGGUGUAGUGGUGAAAUGCGUAGAUAUCAGGAGGAACACCGAUGGCGAAGGCAGGUCUCUGGGCAUUAACUGACGCUGAGGAGCGAAAGCAUGGGGAGCGAACAGG